AACGCAAAUUGCGCUGUUGGGCUAUUCCCGACAGCAUGCUUGGCUGAGUAUCAUCUGGACAAAUCGGUCAAAUCUUGUUUUUUGAUCGGAUGUGAGGAUUCUUGUCGCAGUCAGAUGUGAUUGCGUCCCUUCAAGUCUAGUAUGGUAUUGGCAUGGUUUUGCUGAUCAUUUGCGAAAUUCAUGACUUUGCCGUUCAGUGUGUUAAGUGUUAUUUACACAUCAAGCGCUGAAUACAGCGGCAACAUGCUCUUUCGCUCAAACAAAACUUUGAUCUCAGCUCAAGCAAGACUACCCGCUGAAUUUAA
rnacentral:misc_RNA from 1 species